rnacentral:rRNA from 1 species
GCUGGCGGCAUGCCUUACACAUGCAAGUCGAACGGCAGCACGGGUGCUUGCACCUGGUGGCGAGUGGCGAACGGGUGAGUAAUACAUCGGAACAUGUCCUGUAGUGGGGGAUAGCCCGGCGAAAGCCGGAUUAAUACCGCAUACGAUCUACGGAUGAAAGCGGGGGACCUUCGGGCCUCGCGCUAUAGGGUUGGCCGAUGGCUGAUUAGCUAGUUGGUGGGGUAAAGGCCUACCAAGGCGACGAUCAGUAGCUGGUCUGAGAGGACGACCAGCCACACUGGGACUGAGACACGGCCCACACUCCUACGGGAGGCAGCAGUGGGGAAUUUUGGACAAUGGGCGAAAGCCUGAUCCAGCAAUGCCGCGUGUGUGAAGAAGGCCUUCGGGUUGUAAAGCACUUUUGUCCGGAAAGAAAUCCUUGGUUCUAAUAUAGCCGGGGGAUGACGGUACCGGAAGAAUAAGCACCGGCUAACUACGUGCCAGCAGCCGCGGUAAUACGUAGGGUGCGAGCGUUAAUCGGAAUUACUGGGCGUAAAGCGUGCGCAGGCGGUUUGCUAAGACCGAUGUGAAAUCCCCGGGCUCAACCUGGGAACUGCAUUGGUGACUGGCAGGCUAGAGUAUGGCAGAUGGGGGUAGAAUUCCACGUGUAGCAGUGAAAUGCGUACAGAUGUGGAGGAAUACCGAUGGCGAACGCAGCCCCCUGGGCCAAUACUGACGCUC